rnacentral:rRNA from 1 species
GCCCCAGACGUAAUCUGAGGUGUAACCUGCCCAGUGGUUUCUAAUAAAAAGAAAUAAAAAUUCUUAAAAGAAACUAAAAGGACGCGGUAACCUUGACCGUGGUAAUGUAGCAUAAUCACUCGCCAUUUAAUUGGUGGAUAGUAUGAAUGGUUGAACGAAUAUUCCGCUGUCUUAGAGAGAAUCAUAAGAAAUUGAAAUAAUAGUUAAGAUGCUAUUUUUUACUGUAAGACGAAAAGACCCUAUAGAGCUUAACUAUAACCUUUUUAUUAAUAAUAGAAAAAUAAUUCUAAAAUUAAGAAGGUUGGUAGUUUAGUUGGGGCGACUGUCUUCUACAAAAAACGAAGACAAGCAAUGUUAAUAUGAAACUUAUUGUAUAACAAAAAUGUUUAACAAUUAUGAAAAUAGGCUAUAAUGACCCGUUAAUACUUCAUAAAAAGAAUAACGAUCAAUUAAUAAAAGCUACCUUAGGGAUAACAGGAUAAUUUCAUUCUAGAGUUCCUAUCGAAAAUGAAGUUUGUCACCUCUAUGUUGAAUUAAGAUAUCCUGAUAAUGCAGCAGUUAUCAAAGGUAGGUCUGUUCGACCUUUAAAAUCUU